rnacentral:rRNA from 1 species
AUUGAACGCUGGCGGAAUGCUUUACACAUGCAAGUCGAACGGCAGCACGGGUGCUUGCACCUGGUGGCGAGUGGCGAACGGGUGAGUAAUGUAUCGGAACGUAUCCAAUAAUGGGGGAUAACUAGCCGAAAGGUUAGCUAAUACCGCAUACGCCCUACGGGGGAAAGCAGGGGAUCUUCGGACCUUGCGUUAAUGGAGCGGCCGAUAUCUGAUUAGCUAGUUGGUGAGGUAAGAGCUCACCAAGGCGACGAUCAGUAGCUGGUCUGAGAGGACGACAAGCCACACUGGAACUGAGACACGGUCCAGACUCCUACGGGAGGCAGCAGUGGGGAAUUUUGGACAAUGGGGGCAACCCUGAUCCAGCCAUUCCGAGUGAGUGAAGAAGGCCUUCGGGUUGUAAAGCUUUUUCGCAAGGGAAGAAACGAUACAGUCGAAUAAACUGUGUUAAUGACGGUACCUUGAUAAGAAGCACCGGCUAACUACGUGCCAGCCGCCGCUGUAAGAC